AUUGAACGCUGGCGGCGUGCUUAACACAUGCAAGUUGAACGGUCCGGCAUGGAAGCUUGCUGAAGUGUCGGGUAGUAGCGGACGGGUGAGUAAUGCAUGAGAAGCUGCCAUUGGGAGGGGGACAACAGUUGGAAACGGCUGCUAAUACCCCAUAUGCCGGAAGGUGAAACGGAGUGAUCCGCCCGAUGAGGUGGCUCAUGUCCUAUCGGCUAGUUGGUGAGGUAACGGCUCACCAAGGCGACGACGGGUAGCCGGCCUGAGAGGGUGACCGGCCACACUGGAACUGAGGUACGGUCCAGACUCCUACGGGAGGCAGCAGUGGGGAAUAUUGGGCAAUGGGGGCAACCCUGACCCAGCGACGCCGCGUGAGGGAAGACGGCCUUCGGGUUGUAAACCUCUUUUGUACGGGAAGAAGGACGUGACGGUACCGUGCGAAUAAGUCCCGGCUAACUACGUGCCAGCAGCCGCAGUAACAC
rnacentral:rRNA from 1 species